rnacentral:sRNA from 1 species
UCAUCCUCAAACUCCGGUCGAUAUCGACCCC